GAGUUAGCGGCCGUAUACGCGUUCAAGCCGCGUGCUCUACCUGAGGUCCGGACAACAGUGCGGCCCAGUGCUUUACAGGGAAGUCCCACUCCUCGCCAGUUCUCCGCGGUUGACCGUCGAGGCGAUCUGCGCCUUCUGCAAGCUUCUCGGGAACAGCCACACGUUUGAGACUGGGUGCCAUCGGGAAAAGGCGAACGCUGAGACGAAGUGGUGACUGAGACAAAGGACUAUGCGGACUUGGAAACGGGCCUGACCUUGCGUAGACUGGAACUCUGUGAUGAGGACAGGAGCUCCAAAGAGUCCACGGUGCUGCUCACUGGUCGUGGUUCGAUCCAAACUGUGGCUAUGAACGUCGCGGCUGUGGUGUACCUGACGAACAUCAAGAAUGAGCUCCACAUCGACGUCUACCCCAACAGCGGAAGUGCCGGUGGCCGUGGCCAAGGACCAUCUCUGGCAGCGCCGUCCGGGAUGGAGGGCGUCUGAAUUUCUUUACGGCCCGCCAGUUGAACACGACGUCUCGAGCACUUACGGUAUACAAGGGCCCUGUGGCUCGCACGCGCGUGUUAUGUAUCGAAAGUACUUAAGGAAGCCGAGCAGCGACUGAAAACAAACAGCAGCCCACUCGGUGUGUGGGCGGCUUCCUUAAGCAUGCACGCCUGAGAACAACGGACGUUAGAGGCGCCAGCAGUAAGAGAAAGAUGGCGCGCGAUGCAUUCCUUUGCUGUUACUGUUUGUCUCUCGUUCUCUUUCUACAACGACUGUCGCUUCUUUCUUUAUCAUCUUUU